GCAGGCUCCAGGCUCUGAGCUGUCAGCACAGAGCCUGACGUGGGGCUCGAACCCACAAACUGAGAUCAUGACCUGAGCCAAAGUCGGACGCUUAACUGACUGAACCACCCAGGCACCCCUUAUUUUGCAUUUAUAUGAUAAUCUCUUCUUGUUGUUGCUGUUCACAAUAAUCUUUUCAAAAUUUAGGGCCUCCAUAGGAAUUGGUACGGUCCUGUCACUGAGGCACCUGGCGUUGAUCUAACCCAAUCCUUUCUUUAAUAAAGGGAAAGCAAACAUUAAGAAAUUUAACCAAGAUUAUGUAAUUUGUAGUAAACCUGGAGCAUCUAUCCGUUGCCUUCACCCAGCCCAAGGCUCUGGACUGCCCCCCUGAGCCCUGCUUUAGAGACAUCCUCCUGAUGCUCCAUACCCAACCCAGCACUUCCCGGGGCCCACGAACAGUCUGCCACCAUGCCCAGUCUUUUAGAGUCACCUCCCCUUCCCUUUGGUCCAAUUAUCCUUCUCAUGAUCCUGGGAAGAAAAAAGGGGAGAAAUUGAAAUCCAGCUCAAUCAUGGAGAUACCAAAGAUCAGCACUGGAAAAAGAUAGGGCUGGGAGAUGGAGGAAAAAUACAGCCAUCUCAAAACAAACAGAAAAAAAAUAAAAGAACUCUAAAAAAGCCAAAAGAGAGAAAUGAAAGCG